UAUUCCCUCCUUUUUUUCCUCAACAACUCCACCCAUAUUCCCCAAAUUAAUCAAAAAAACCCUAUAAUCUGUCAAUCCAGUGUUAUCCCAAAACACGUACACCAGAUUCAGCAAAGAGGAUGCAAAGAAUCACGAACAAAUAGGCCCUCACUGCAACUUCCCGCUACUCCAUCGGCGAGUUCUAGCGAUUGAUUUAACACUAUAUAUAUAGAGGGCAAAACUCAACGAAAAAUCACAAAAUGAUUUGGUCUUCUUGUUGUACGCAACUUAUAAUUUGUGUGCUUUGUGGUGAAUCUGUGUCAACGAUAAUAGCUGGGUGUCAACGCUAAUAGCUGGGUUUUGUUAUUUGCUAUGCUUAUACUUGAUUUGUGGGUUCUGUCAAUGCAGUUUAUACGAUUUGGUCUUCUUGUUGUACGCAACUUAUAAUUUGUGUGCUUUGUGGUGAAUCUGUGUCAACGAUAAUAGCUGGGUGUCAACGCUAAUAGCUGGGUUUUGUUAUUUGCUAUGCUUAUACUUGAUUUGUGGGUUCUGUCAAUGCAGUUUAUACGAUUUGGUCUUCUUGUUGUGCAUUCUCGUCAAGAAAUUGGUCUAAGCUUGUAGGUCGCACCUCCAAGAUCUGGACAACUCCGGUGAGCAUUGCUUGCGUUUCCAUGGUCUUGCUUUAUUGCUAUCAGUAGUUGUUUUGAAUAUAGUUUUAUCUAAAUUUUGGUACAUGUUAGUAAUUAUACCUGAUUUACAUUAAUAAUUGUACCUGAUUUACACACUCAUUAUCGCUUUGAUUAAUUUUUUCUUAAGGUAUCAAAAGUGAUUGUAAUUUUGAAGUGGACUUUGCACUCAUGUGUUUGAUGAUAUGUCUAAGUCAUCUUCUUUGGAGUAUUCUGUUGUCCUCCUCCUAUUAGGGGUACAAUAGUGAAAUCUCUAGGAGCGUUUGAGCAAGGACUCUUUUAGAAGAAAGUAUUAUCUUUCUUUGAGCAUUUUGGGGCCAAUUUACCAUCUUCCACACACUAAAGAUGUAGGGUAUGAUUGUUAGUUACAUAUUAUUGAUGUUAUUUUUUUUCUUUGUUUGGUAGGUUGUUCUACCUUAUUCCUUUGAAAUUGCAGAAUAGUAAGAGUACACGAAUAAUCCAGUGUAGUAUUAAUGGCCGCUUUGCGCACUAUCCCUUUUUUGUUCUUAUAGACUUAAUUAAUCACCUGAGAAAAUCUGAGGAACAUCUUGAUACUGAAAAUACUGUAAAAAUUACGGAUGAUAUAAUAGACUCCCUUCGACCUUUUUGUUUUUCCUUUGUAAUUGGAAUACUACAAGCUUGAAUUUCUUUUGAUUUCUUAUGCAUUGCACUUAGAAAUAUACUUUCUCUGUGAAAAAUAUUCCUCCUUGUUAUUCAUUUGAUGGGAUCCAUUGCAGGCGAUGGUCUUUCCUCAUGAUUCUAUUAUAAAUUUCUUCAUCUUAAAGUCGGUGAUUCAUUUGCUUUGAUUUUGCUUCUUCCAGACCUAUUUCCAAGUCAAAAGAGGAAAAAUUUGCCUCCUUUUCGCUUAAGAGUUGAUAGAAAAUGUGGUUCCAUCAAAUUUCUUUUACAAGUUUAUUUAAUUGAGAGAUUUCUUCUAUUGUAUCAUAUUUAGAUCUUGGAUUGUAUUCAUGUACAAUGACUGAACUUCUGUAUAGGGUGAUAAUAGCAUAAAGAUAAGCUUAGCUUAAAUAGCUGGUGACCAUACGAGAUAUAGCCUACAUUCCGAGUUUCUUUGCCUUGUACGUUGUGAAAAUUGCCUUUUCCCCUCUCCUAUGUGUUAUUUUGAGCUUAAAUUUUUCUGCUCCUCAUAUCUCAAGGAUGUAUUGGAGGUUUCUUAAAAUAGUUCUGUAGAUUUUAUCUUUUGCUAACUCAGGAGUAUAAAAAUAAUUUUGCUUUUAACAAAUUAUGGCAAAUUUUAGUGCCCUUUUUUGUGUUUCCAGAGCAUUUUUUUCUUUGUUGUAGUGACAUUUAUUUUAAGUGUAUUUGUGUCAUGCCAUAAACAUAGUAGACUUAGAGUUUAAAUAGAAAUGAGAGUUUGGGUGUACGAGCAUGGGUAGUUUUGAAUUGUCAAUCCAGAUUAAAUUCAUACUUUAGUCUUAGGAUGUAAUGUCAACGGCUGUAAAACACGUGUAUUUCCCCUUUACCCAAUAAACAAAGAAGUAGUUUUAUCAAUAUACCUCAUUUAAAUCCUAAACUAGAUAGCAUUUGAUUGUCAAUUUCUAUUAUAUAGAAAAAUCAACAGAUUUGGGUGAAGCUCUAGGCCUCUAUCCGGUCUAGAUGACAAAUAGACAGUCGAAAUUCAUCAGCUGAAGCUCGGUAAGCUUUUCCUAUUAGCUUUUGUGUUGCUAAUUCUAUUUAUUCAUAGCAAAACGAUUUUCAAUAUCAGGCUAAGAAUUGCUAGGUGUUCCACAAGAAGACAUCACUCAUUGAGGCUCCACCUUUCUUGCCUUCUCUGGUUGACAUGAAUCCAUCAAAGUCUGAAAUGGGAGCAACUUCAAUGAAUGUACAUCAUGCAUAUAUUCAACCUGGUGCUUUAGUAAGGGGAAGAGGACACAACUUUGGAUCUUUGGGAUCUGUAAAAAUAAGUAUUAGAAAGAGAACUCUUAUUGGCCAAAGUAAAAAUCACAACUCAACAGCUUUUGAGUAGAAUAAGCUUGAACAUACUGAUAAUCUUGUGCCCCCUGGUUUCGCUUCGAUGGAAGACGAUGCUCCCCUUGCUCAAGACGCUGAAGCGAAGCAAGAAACAGGAGGAGCUUUGAAGAAUGUAAAUCUUGCAUACAUUCAACCUGCAUCUUUAGCAAGGGGAUGAUGGCAAAGCUUUCGAUCUUUGGGCUCUGCAAAAGUAAAUGUUGGCAAAAAAAUCUAUUUGGAGAGAUUAAAAAUUACAACUUAGGGGCUUCUAAGCAGAAUAAGCUAGCACAUAAUAAUCUAUGUGAAUCUGAAAACCCAAAAAAAGGUGAGAGGAAAGAAUAGGAAUAAAGAUGUUGCGGGACUCAAACCUCGAGAAAAGUUUAGAGUCAAUUUUACCAUAAUCGGAUUGUUGGGAAGCAUCAAGCCUCAUUUUUGAGACACUUGGGUAUAUUAGUUCGUGAUCGUAAUAUGUGUCCAUUGCAAGUACAUUCAUGGAAGGACAUUGCAAAAGAUAACACAUGUGGCGAGCUGUUACGAUAAAGCAAUAUUUUAAUUGAAAGUACUUGAAAUUUUUGUUACCGUUCUCACUCUGUUUAUGGUCUAUGUUAGAUAUGUUGUUGGUGGCUGGAAAUUUUUGUUAAAGUAGUUCUAAUCAAUGCUAAUUCCACAAAUGAUCUGUUGCAUUUUACAUUCAAUUAGUUUCACUGCAUCCCUUGUCGGGAUCACUUGUAUUAUCCAGAUUUGUGGUGAUGAGCUGAAGAAGCCACAAUCAUUAUAUCCUUUGUGUUGUGUAUGAUUAAUGAAAAUGCAUUGUACAAGCUGUAGCACCUUAUGAUCCACUGCAAAUGCUCUGUAAAAUAUGACAUCUUUAUACCAAGAGUUGUGCACAUGAGUGAGUUUGCAUAGUUUGCUGCAUAUCUCUUAUGAGUUUGAGCAAAAUUUUGAGACCAACUUUGUUCGAUAGCCUUCCUGGUAUAUGAGGGUAAUGAAGUACACUGAGAUUUUAGUCCAUAAUGCACUCAUCGAUCCCAUUUUUGAACACCAAAAUCCCAUGUCAUAGCUGAUCAUUCAGCACCUGGCAGUAGUUAUUCUUGUUGAGUAAUUCUUCUGGUGUGAGAGUUAAGGUGCAUUUUAUUGACACAAUGGUAUGAUGCCCCUUAUGUAUUAUUGACACAAAGGUAUGAUGCCCCUAAGUGCAGAUGUUUCUCCCUUAGAAAGUCCCAAAUGGUUCCUAUUGUACUAGAAAUUAUCAAGACAAUACAAUUUCUGAACUUGUAGACAUCAGAAAAUGCUAGGAUAUAAGCAUACAAUAUUCCAAAUGAAACAAGUUUGGGCAGGCAUGAAGAGAAUCUUUACUCACCAUUAUUCCUUUGACCUGAGUGUUAAUGUGACCCCUUUCAGAGUCACCUAGAAGCUUGGACAAACCAAAAUCAGAAACUUUUGCGUUUAGGCGUUCAUCUAGCAAGAUGUUGUUGGACUUGAUGUUUCUGUGUAUGAUAGGAGUAUUAACAAGGUCAUGAAGAUACUGCAAACCUCGGGCUACUCCAAGGGCUAUAUUCAAUCUCCUUAUCCAAUCUAACCUGAUCCCAGUCUUGCCUACAAGUACAAAUCCAAUUACUUUUUCCAGAGGCACAUUCCCCUUUUGGCAAAGUUAUAAUGAUCUAGUUUUAAGGAAUCAAUAAGAAGGAAAAAUCUAAGGUGCUAGUCAAGGAGUAUGUUUCUUAUUCUCUAGAUAGAACUCUAUAAGAAGCAAAACUAUUGGAGAUUUUAGUGUUCCUUGCCCUAAUUACAUGUUCCUGAUCUCAUGGAAAAUGGUUCAGCACUUCCACUCCUAAUUUUAAAUAUUGGUUUCUUGUUAAUGACACCAUCUAUAGUAUUUUGCAACAACUAAUCGUAAUUACUUCUUGGACUUCCCAGAAUGUAGGUAACAGGUAAUACAACAAACACCUCUAUAGUUUUCUCACAAUAAUGGUGUUAGUGAAUUAUUACAUAUAUUGUAAUGUUUUGUUGUAAAGCUGCAACCUUUAGUGCAAGUUUUUUGUGUAUCUCUUAGUCUGUAAGGUCACAUUCAAUGUCAAAACUUCUGCUUGAUUACAUUUGUUAAGUGACUAACAUGAAGGCUCUCCAUAGUUUCUCAAUGUGUACCUAGCACAGUGACACCUGCUUCUACAUUACCCUUCUGCACGGGGUAUUUGGGUCUGGAGGGGAAUUAGUUUGAUUCUUUGCAUAGGAUUUGAUUAUAAGUUACUGCUUCAAAUAAUGUUAUGACUUAUGAGGGUUAGGCUAAAAAGGGAAGAGAAUGUUACAUUUGAUUACGUGGAACAUAUUUAUUAUUUCUUCUUGAAAUCCAAGAAUUUGCAUACUGGAAGCUGGGUUUAUAGCACUGUAAAGUACUAGAGCUUAUUGGUUGUUGACUUUUCUGUUGCCUCUUAUAGAAUGUUUGAUCACAAUAAGUCGUUUUCUGUAUAUAUUAUUGGCGUGUAGUUUCUAAGGCAUGUUGUUGCUCUAAGCUCUACGUAAUUUAGAAAAUGCUUUACUUAUGAAUCUUUGUGAAUGCUGAAGAUCCUAGGUCUUAAGAAAUAUCACUGAAAAUAGACACAUUUUGUUUGAAACAGUAAAAACUAUCUUUAGUUUACAUGAAAUUUUUUACUUUCUUGAUUAAUGAUUUUGCAAAAUAUUUAGGAAAAAUUUGACAGUGAUGACAUGAAUCAUCAAAGAGAUCAUGUGUUAAAUCAUAUGAGAAAGUUAUCAAACAAUUGAAGAGGAUCAUUGCACAAGUAUGUGAAGUUUAAGCCAUUGCAUGAAGCACUAAAAGAUGUCCCGGAUGAGGUAGACAAGAGUGAUUGGGAAUGGUUGGUCAAGGAACAUUUUUUAAGUGAAAAAUUUAAGGGAGGCAAAGACGGUAAUCCACCGAAUAUGGCGACUAUCUUCUUUGAGACUCACAAGAAAAAUGACAUGCUUGUAGAACCUGAAGCUGGUGAAAAAUAUGCUGAGAUACAAGAACUAGUACAAUCUGAGUUGUCUCUUACGAAUAUCGAGGUAGUAGAAAGAUGCUUCGGACCUUAAAACAAGAGUCACAUGGUUGAAUUAGGGGGUGAUAUAACCACUAAGGAGUUGAAAGACGGUAGCUCCUCAAAGGCUACAAUACUAGCUGAGCUGAAUGCAGUUUGAAAAGAAAAAGAAUCACUACAGACCGAGCUGAAUACAACUAAAAAAGAAAAAGAAUCACUAGAAAUACGUAUGGACGACAUAGAUUCUAAGUAUGCACAUAUUAUCAGCUUACUGGGUGAUCAGCCUUCAUUAGCACCAUCUUCAAGUCAACAAAGUACAAGCUGAAAUUAUUAUUUAACAGAUCUGAUAAAGGCCCUAAAGUUUGAAGAAUCUUCCAUAAAGAUAGUUCCGAGCAAGUUGAAGUAGCUACAAUUGUUGAAGAACAAGGACAAUCUAUUAAGUUUUAUUAGGAGUUGUAGUCGUCAUCCGUACAAACUACUAUUUUACUUUCUCUUUAAUUUUUUGUUUUCUUUAAGGAAUUGAAAACAUGGAUCAUGCAAUUUGAAUGUAAUAUUAGUGCUACUUUGAUUA